GAUUCUCAAUUAACUCAGCGAUAGCUAAUAUAGCUUGCUCAUCAAGGUGCCGUAUAAUCAAGCUAUACUUAAUAUCGUCAGAGCGGAUCCGAAAAACUAAGAAUUCGCUUUCCAGCUGAGCAAACCAGAAUUUAGGUUGCUUAUGCCAAAAAUUCGGCAAUUUAAUAAGGCGAAAUUCAUUAGAAUGGAUCUCAUUUGGCUGACCUUGUUAAUGCGGUUCAUUACUGGAGUCGCAGUCGAAGAUUUGUCCAAAGGCAUCGUAAAAUACUGCCGAUGUUCUGCAAUGUGAAGUUCAGAAGUCUAGAAGAUCGCUGUCCUUGGAAAUUCGAUGACUCGAAAAUCUCAUCGACUCGAAGAUCACAAGACACAAAUCACACAAGGAUCACAGCGGAACUCGGAACUCGUCGGCUCACAGCACUCACGGAUCACUGAUUUAAAUUUGCCGCGCUUGAACGUGAAUUCUCGAAAGCCUGUGAUCACGUCGGGGUCACCAGUUGUGGAAGUGAUAUAGUUAAAUAACUAGACUUCGGUAAUAUAAUAUAAAAUAUUUAAUAUUAUAAAACGAUGUUUACAGGAUGAUGGACAAUAAACGAAUGAAUAAAUGUUUCACAAUUUGUAUGUUUUUAAUGUUGUUAUGUAAAAUGUUUAAUCAAUAAAUAAGAU